GAUUUUGGUGUCACACCUUGUUUCAAGCGUGUGGUGAAAAGGGAAUCAAGUGAGAAUCUUGAACAGACCCGCUGCUGUAAGCUCUACUAAAAUCUUUGAACACGACUCAAAUCCACUGUUUCAACAUGAAAUGGGAAGGGCGUUUAAAGAUGGAGUAAGUCAGAAGACCUGCCAAUAUCGUU
rnacentral:ncRNA from 1 species